UCCGACCUCAGAUCGGACGAGAUUACCCGCUGAAUUUAAGCAUAUCACUAAGCGGAGGAAAAAGAUACUA
rnacentral:rRNA from 1 species